rnacentral:misc_RNA from 1 species
CCAAUAGCGUAUAUUAAAGUUGUUGCAGUUAAAAAGCUCGUAGUUGAAUUUCGGGGUUCUUCCGUUGGUCAGGCUAACAAGUCUGUACUAGCGUGUAGAAUCUCUACCUUCUGGGGAACCAUCAUGUUAUUAAUUUAGCGUGGUGGGAAACCAGGACCUUUACCUUGAAAAAAUUAGAGUGUUCAAAGCAGGCUUACGUCUGAAUACAUUAGCAUGGAAUAAUAAAAUAGGACGGUGGUCCUGGUUUGUUGGUUUCUGAAUCACCGUAAUGAUUAAUAGGGAUAGUUGGGGGCAUUAGUAUUCAAUUGUCAGAGGUGAAAUUCUUGGAUUUAUUGAAGACUAACUUCUGCGAAAGCAUUUGCCAAGGAUGUUUUCAUUAAUCAAGAACGAAAGUUAGGGGAUCGAAGACGAUCAGAUACCGUCGUAGUCUUAACCAUAAACUAUGCCGACUAGGGAUCGGACGAUGUUAAAUUUUAUUGACUCGUUCGGCGCCUUACG